GAGGCAGCAGUAGGGAAUCUUCCGCAAUGGGCGAAAGCCUGACGGAGCAACGCCGCGUGAGUGAUGAAGGUUUUCGGACCGUAAAGCUCUGUUGCCAAGGAAGAACGUCUUCUAGAGUAACUGCUAGGAGAGUGACGGUACUUGAGAAGAAAGCCCCGGCUAACUACGUGCCAGCAGCCGCGGUAAUACGUAGGGGGCAAGCGUUGUCCGGAAUUAUUGGGCGUAAAGCGCGCGCAGGCGGUUCUUUAAGUCUGGUGUUUAAACCCGAGGCUCAACUUCGGGUCGCACUGGAAACUGGGGGACUUGAGUGCAGAAGAGGAGAGUGGAAUUCCACGUGUAGCGGUGAAAUGCGUAGAUAUGUGGAGGAACACCAGUGGCGAAGG
rnacentral:rRNA from 1 species